CUUUUCUAGUGUUCCACAGCAGGUCUGUAACAAGUGGGCUUAAAUCUCACGUCUUUAUCCUUCACCAUGCUGAAUGGACUGAGAAAUGCCCACCCACUUGUGACACAGAACUAUAUACCCUCUCGUUUCAGGAUGUUGAUAUAAGGUCUCAUUGCCUUCCUCAGCAAUCUUCUGAAUCUGGCAUUCCUUCUGAGAAGACUAACAAGCAUUCAUCCAAAAUGUUCGUCAUUGGAAAGUUAGCUGUAAUUUGAUCUAACUUCUCACUCAAUAUGAUAGUUUUUUUUUGGUAUACAAGAGACCUGAUGGAAUCUUUCUUAGGCACCAUGUCGUGCAAAGCUGCCAAAAGUGAACGCAUCCACACCAGCCAGCACGGCACUGGAGACUCCCGUGAGCAUGUUCACUGCUGCGAUGACCCCAAUUAACAGUUUAAUGGGGGAAAUGUACAGAGGGGAUCUGAAAACUGUUGAAGUCACCAAAGCAUUACAAGAUGCCAAGAGAUAAUGGUCAAAAACAGCCUAAUAACACACAGUGCCCAUGUGCAUGCUCCACUAUCUCAAGCCACUGUCACCCUGGAUCUUCUGCAGCACUGGCUGGAAUCAGUGGUGGAUACUGCCGUUGAGGAAUUUUUGAUGCCUUUCUCACCUGGGGAAGGUGAACACUGCACUGAAUGAAGGGCUUUCAGGUCUUCCUCAAAGUCAAGCAGGAAAUCUUCAAGGUCACGUUCAUCUGCAGCACAAGAAGUCCUGGAAUGAUUAGUUCUGACUCUCUUUUCAAGGGACCAAAUCCCAGAGUGGAGAGUCCUGGGUUAUUCUGGAGACAUGAACUGUCACAAAUUCCUUGUGCUCUAGCUUUCUUGCAAGUUAUUAUAAAGUUGCCUUUGGAUGUUUGACUCAAGCUGCUAUGACAUACUAUUCUAGUACAACUGGGGGUGAGGGAGAGUGACCCAAGACGCCGGGUGUAACAUCUAAACUCUCAUUCUGCUCGUGUUCCCUGCAGCUCAUGAUGUCCCCACAUUGCAGAGCUAAAUUAGAGGAGGCUAUGGGCCUCUUCGUUCAGAGUAGGAACCGCUUUAUCCAAAUUUCUAACACUAUAAAAGCUAUACUGCAAAUGUUCUAGGCUGUGUUCUCUGAACACCAGAGAAUCAGACACAGUAAGUUUCAGUCUUCCCUGGGGAAUUCUGUGUAACAGAGGACAAAACAAAUAACUACUUGGUGCUUGGUUUAGCUAUCCAUGAAAUAGGAGUUUUGUGAUCUAACAUAUUUCCCCAAAGAUACAGAUUUAAUUGGUCUCAUGUGGGAAUUGGGGACCAAUAUUUUUUAAAAGUUGCUAUGUGAGUGUAAUAUGUGGUCCAGGGUUGAGAAUCACUGCCUUUGAAAAUAAACUCCAUGAAUGACCUUCUCUCUGUGUUGUUCAUUGUGUACUUUCAAGGCCUAGAACAGUGCCUGGCACAAAGUAGGCUCUCUAAUAACUUUUUGCUUGUGUUUUUAUGUUUUGAGUGAAUAAUUUUGGAGAGAAAUUAGAGUGGGUGAGGCAGGAAGAGCAAAAACUGAAGCAAGAACAAGAACAAGACACAUGCUGUGGCCUAAAACAAAAAAGGCAAGGACCAAGAUAUCAGUUCCUUAAACAGAUACACAUGCAGGAAAAACUGGUAAGGUUAUCUGCAGACAGACUGAAUCAUACUUGCUUUGGAAUCAACAAAUCAUUAAGGCCCAAAGCAUGAGAAGCCAUCCUUCUGUUUAGUCUGUUUAGACUUUGUGCAAACUCGCAGGGUUGGCAGGGAAGGCAGGGGGUGGUGCCCAAAGCACCUCCUCAUUACCACAGGUGUGGUUUGAGAGGCAUUGUUGUCUGUUUAGGUAACGUCUUAAUUCAAGGAAAGCCAAGCUUUACAGACAUUAUCUCAUUUCACCUUCCAGACAGAUACCCCGGGGUGGGGUAGGUGAGGAGAAUGAUUUAGAAUUAGUUGGACAAAAAGCAGGAUUCUUUAGCCCUUCUGCUGAAAUAUGAAGGAAUCUAAAAUGUUUAUAUCUUUCAAUCCUUCCAGGCCAUAAGAAUGAAAAUGGAUUUUGUCUUCUGGAGAAAAAGUUUCUGAAGUACGUAUGAAAAAGACAUCCUCAGAAACAGACCCUUUAAAAAGCUGAUGGAAACAUCAUGUCAGUAAUCACCCCUGAGGACAGUAUAUGCUAAGGGGGAAUCUAAUUAUACAUAUAAAUAUAAGAAUUCACCUACAGAACAGAUGAAAUUUUAGGAUAAAUCCUGAGCUAGUUUUCUCUUUCUCAAGUAGUCUUUAAAAAGUGGGAUUUAUUCACAAUUUGCUGAGGUACAAGGACUUGUCUGAAGUUCAGAUAAUCUGUUUGAUAAUUUUUUUUCCUUUUUUUUUGAGACAGUCUUGCUCUGUUGCCCAGGCUGGAGUGCAGUGGCGUGAUCUCAGCUCAGCUUGCUUUGGAAUCAACCUGCCUCCCGGGUUGAAGCGAUUCUCAUACCUCAGCCUCCCAAGUACCUGGGAUUACUGGCAUGUGCCACCAUGCCUGGCUACUUUUUUGUAUUUUUAGCAGAGAUAGGGGUUUCACCAUGUUGGCCAGGCUGGUCUUGAACUGCUGACCUCAAGUGAUCCAUCUGCCUCGGCCUCCCAAACUGUUGGGAUUACAGGUGUGUGCCACCACACCCGGCCUGUUCGAUGACUUUUCAUCAAACAUAAUUCAUUUCCAUGUGUUCCACUGAACACAACACAAUUUCAUUACCAUGGCAUAGCAAGUCCUACCUUGAGCCUGAAACAUUCCAGCAUCUUUCUUAUGAAGGUCGUCCAUACUGCUGUUGUCACCUUUAUUCCAUUGAUUAGAAAUCUUAUAGGCAUUCUCACACACUCCAAAUGCACAGCACUGGUAAGCAUAAGGCAUUUCUAUAACCCUUUAAAUGAACAAAACCCAAACAAAAAACACUUAAAGAAACGGAUAAUUAAAUAUAGUGUUCAUGUUCUUUCACCCAAUUAUUCUACCUUUGGAUUUUAGCCUAAAUAAAUAAUCCAAAGUAUAAGUUAUGCACAUAAAGGUGUUCAUUACAGUGCUAUUUAUAAAAACAAUGAAGUUAUUAAAAAUGAUCACUAUGAAAUGUUAAUUGCUGAAGCUGAGUGAUGCAACUUCCAUUACUCAAAUGAUGGAAAAUUUCCAAAAUAAAAAGGUUAAAAAAAAGGCUGCUAAGAAAAAUUGUAGCAACAUGAAAAAGUGCUUAUGGCAGAAUAAGUGACUACAAUAUGACAUAUAUUUCUAUGCACAUUUUGAGUCUAACAAUAAAAAAUGCACUGGAAACAAAGCUUGGAAAGAAGUAACUUAACCAUGUUGUUUAGAGUGGCAUUUUUAAGAUUUUUGUUCCUGGAUGCUUAAUAGAGACUGGGAAGGGUGGACUUGGGGGGAAGUGGGGAUGGUUAAUGGGUACAAAAAAUAGAAAGAAUAAAUAACACCGACUAUUCAAUAGCACAACAGGGUGACUGUAGUCAAUAAUAAUUUAAUUGGGCAUUUUAAAAUAAAGAGUGUAAUUGGAUUGUUUGUAACUCAAAGGAUAAAUGCUUGAGGGGAUGAAUACCCCAUUUUCCAUGAUGUGCUUAUUACAUAUUGCAUGCCUGUAUCAAAACAUUUCAUGUACCCCAUAAAUAUAAACACCAAC
rnacentral:lncRNA from 10 species